CAGCUCACAGACAGGCUCACAGGAGUAUGUGAUGCAAGAAGGGGGUUGAGCGAGUUGACUGGGCUGACCAAAGCUGGGUACAGUUUUAACUGCGAAGAUUUUCUGGAGGAGGCGGAUCUGCAGCAGAUUAUCCCCUGAGGAGGAAAGGGCUGGGAGGUGAAGGGGCUGGGGAGAGAAUCCCUUGGGAGCGGUCUCUUUGUCUUUUACUCUGAGCUUUGUCGUUCCCUCCUGUCCUUCCCUUCCCUCUGUCCUCUUCGGAUUGCCCUGCAGGGUGUCUGCCCUGGUGCCCUGCUCUUUGAGCUCGGCGGGUUCAAGGAUGCCCCUACUCUGACCCCACAACAGUCACAUUCCCCUGGCAUCCCUUUUGGCCCUUCCAGGUCCCGGGCCUCCUCCGAGAGUGAAUUGGAUGACGAAGGCCCCUGUGGUGGUGACGGGGACCCAGGCCUGUUCCCCUUCCCCAUGCCCCGGGGUGGGGCCCAGGCCUCCAGCGAAGAGAGUGAGGAGGAGGGGACAUCUGACGACCUCCACCCACCCCCUGACUGCCAUUAUGCAACCCGGCCCCCACGGCCACAGGCGUUCUGCACCUUUGGGAGCCGGCUGGUGAGCCCAGGAUGCUAUGUGUUUAGCCGCCGGCUGGACCGGUUCUGCUCAGCACUCAGCUCCAUGCUGGAACGGCACCUCAGCUCACACAUGUGGAAGAAGAUCCCACCGGCAGCUGAACCUCCAGCUCACCUUGUCAACUCCCCGUUAUCUGCUCCCCUGAGCCCAUCCUCUACAGGCACCUGCCCCCGCCUUCCAGGUCCACCCCCGAGACCUGCCUGCCCAGCCUCCACGCCCCCCACCAAGGACAACCUUGUCCCCAGCUACCCUGCAGGCUCCCCCAGCGUGGCGGCUGCCUGUAGCCAGGCAGAGUGCAUGGGCGGGAGCCAGGCUAUCACCUCACCACUGCCUGCCAACACGCCAUCCCCGUCCUUCAGCAAGCUGCCGCCUUCCAAGGCCAGCAAGUCAUCCAAAGGCAAGGACGGGGUGGAGGUGGAGGCCCCUUCUCGAAAGCGGAAGUUGUCCCCUGGCCCCACCACUCUUAAACGGACCUGCAUCCUGGAGCCCACUGGAAAAGGGAAACCCUCUGGCUGUAGGGGCCUCUCGGCCAAAACUAAAACAGCCCUGAGCAUGGGGCUUAACGGGACAAUGGGGCCAAGAGUGAAGCGGGCAGGGCCCCUGGACUGUCGUGGCUCCCCUCAUCAGCUCCCCACACCAGUCAAGGCUUCUCAGCUAGAGAACCGGGGAGCAGCUGGACACCCAGCCAAGGCCCUGCCAACCAACUGCCUCUCUGAGGAGGAGGUGGCCAAGAAGCGGAAAAACCUGGCCACUUACUGCCGGCCAGUGAAGGCCAAGCACUGUCAGGCUGGUGCCCCUGCUGAUGUGGCCUGCUCUGUGCGCCGCAAGAAGCCAGGCCCGGCCCUGGCCUUUGAGGAGAAGUGCUCAACACUGAAGUCAAAAGCCCAUUAACGAGAAAGUGCCUGCCCACUGCACCGGAGCCGCCAGCACCUCCUCCCCUCCAGAUCCGGGCCCCAGGCUGCUGCCGCUUUUUAUAACUUUAUAUUAUUUUUUUUAAGAAAAAAAGCUCUUUAAAAUACCUCAAGACUGUCUCCCUGUUCUGUUGCUGCUAUGAAAAUAUAAAAACAGAAACAUAGAAAAGGAAGGAAAAAAA
rnacentral:sRNA from 1 species